rnacentral:rRNA from 1 species
UACGGGGGGAGCAAGCGUUGUUCGGAUUUACUGGGCGUAAAGGGCGCGUAGGCGGUCAGCACAAGUCAGUUGUGAAAUCUCCGGGCUUAACUCGGAAAGGUCAACUGAUACUGUGCGACUAAAGUGCGGAAGGGGCAACUGGAAUUCUCGGUGUAGCGGUGAAAUGCGUAGAUAUCGAGAGGAACACCUGCGGCGAAGGCGGGUUGCUGGGCCGACACUGACGCUGAUGCGCGAAAGCCAGGGGAGCGAACGGG